AUUGAACGCUGGCGGCAUGCUUUACACAUGCAAGUCGAACGGCAGCGCGGGCUUCGGCCUGGCGGCGAGUGGCGAACGGGUGAGUAAUACAUCGGAACGUGCCCAGUAGUGGGGGAUAGCUCGGCAAAAGCCGGAUUAAUACCGCAUACGGCCUGAGGGUGAAAGCGGGGGAUCUUCGGACCUCGCGCUAUUGGAGCGGCCGAUGGCAGAUUAGCUAGUUGGUGGGGUAAAGGCCUACCAAGGCGACGAUCUGUAGCUGGUCUGAGAGGACGACCAGCCACACUGGGACUGAGACACGGCCCAGACUCCUACGGGAGGCAGCAGUGGGGAAUUUUGGACAAUGGGCGAAAGCCUGAUCCAGCAAUGCCGCGUGUGUGAUGAAGGCCUUCGGGUUGUAAAGCACUUUUGGCGGGAACGAAAAGGACUGUGCCAAUACCACGGUUCGAUGACGGUACCCGCAGAAUAAGCACCGGCUAACUACGUG
rnacentral:rRNA from 1 species